ensembl:lncRNA
AUCAGGUAUUAGUCUAUAUAUAAAUGAUGCAGGAGAAAGUACAGGUGAUUUAUGGUAGAUAGACUGCUACAUUUAAUUCAUUGUGGAUAUGGUUUUGGAACAAGUGUAAAAGUAUUCUUGUUUGUCUUUAAUGUGACUUUAAUGGGCAUACGAGUCUAUUAGGAGACAUGAUUGAAUGCCAUCUGAAUGUAAAAAUGUUAAAUAGGUAAUUUGCUAAAUAAAUGUACUUUACAUUAGACACAUUAAUCUCCCAUAGCGUGUGGUUUUGUUUUAUCACAGACUUCGCCAAUGAUGAUAAAAAUUAUGCUUCCUAAGCUGGACACCUGACAUCUUUUCUUAAAAUGCGAGAGGAUGGAUAGCGCAACCAGCCCUGCGUCAGAGUCUAGUCUCUCCAAUGGAUUUGUCAAUAGCGUGUUCAACGUUUCAGUUGACGAAGAGAGCAAAGCUGAGAUCUCAUGGAUUCCAGAGUGCAAUUCCUCAGACUCCAUUAUUCCCGGUCAGACGCUCAGAAGAGAAAAACAGGAACCGGUCCGGCGUUCCAGGACGGCGGCCAUCUGGAGGAUCCUGCAGCGCCGCAAAACCCCCUGGGAUCUGGACAGACGACCUCACUCUGUCAUCCUCCCCAAUGAAGCGUCCUUCCUCAAACUGUCCAUCACUAACAAAGUCAGGCCCUUCAAGAAACUGAAGUCCUCGUCUGUUUUUAGAGGGAAAGCCGGUAAGAUAUCUGAUGCCAAAUUCAACACUGACCUGAAAGACGAGGCUGAUGAUGUGUACAUGUGCAAGGACUCUCCUUCUUCAGACUUCAAGCAUGUGUUUAGGAAUAAAGCCAAGAGACAUUCAUUUGCAGGACACACUGCAGACUUCUACUGUUCGUUUGAGGACAUCGCCCCUGCUGAAACCCCAGACAAUGUCCAGCAGGAGACCAAAGACACCGUUAGCAACCAAAACGGCUGUAAGCUGUCAGAAAGAGUCGUUUAUACAAAGAAAUCUCACCCCAGCUUCUUUAACUACAACAAUUCGACAGAACAGGAAGACUGCUUUGCGAAGCAAAGCCUCAAGAUACCUCAAAGAAGACGAUGGGCCAGAGGGGGGGACGUUUUGAAUUACUUGAGAAGAAUUUCCCUCAAAGAAAAGGGAAGUCAGACGCUAGCAGAGAGUAGUUUUGAGUCAAUGAAUGCCCUGGACAAAACCAUCGAUUCUGACUACGGCUCGGUCAACUUUGAACUGGUCAAGGAUUUGAACUCUGCACCUGAACAAACAGGGAUUCAUGGCAAAAGCAGCCAUUUUCGAGGCCUUCUCCGAUUUUUCAACACCGUGGCUGAGACUGCAAUGAAAUGGAGAAACUCGUCCCGCUCGUUCUCCCCCCCUGAAGACCAGCAGUCGCCUCUCGGAUUUAGAAAGACGCAGGAGUCAGGAGAACUCGUGCCUUUGACAGUGAGGAGCGGCGAGCAGAAAGCCGAUACCUCAGUUCAAGUUAAACCCACGUUAUCAGCUGACAUGAUCAAGGCGGUCUCGCCUGUUAAUGCCAUGGUGGAUUGCUCUCCUCCUGUGGUGCUGAAGGCCUGGAGAACAUGCCCAGACUCUCCGAGAGAUAACAGCUCCCUGUGUAAUAACUCGGACGAAUCGCAGUCCCAGCUCAGCUCAACUCACAUCUCUCUAGCCACCAUCGAGAGCCACCCGAGAUCUGAAGAACCAGAGCCACCAAAAGAGACACAGACUGGCUUUGAAAUCACGGAGAUCCCACAUCACUCAUCUAGCAAAGCUGUUGAUGAAAACCAAGAUGUUUGCACGGAUGGGAAAAAGAUGAACUGCCCGGAGGACGUGUUUAAGACCCUGUCGCGGCCCCGGGGCCAGUCGCCUGCAGAUCCUCCUCUCAAAGCUCUGCUCCAGCGGUGUCGCUCUCUGCCGCUGCCCACCGCACUGUCGGCCCUGGAGCCCAUGGCCCUCACACACAUGCUCACUCCUCCAGCUAAAACCAUGGCUAAAUCAGUCGUUCUCCGCAUGAGGAACAGCAGCACAGGAUCCAACAGACGGAAACGGUUUAGACCAGGAUCUGGACCACUGCACAUCAACAUGGUGAGUGAUCCGGCCUCUGUCCUGAGACUUCAUCUGACGGACUGUUUUGUGUU